UUGCAUAGGAUGUCGGCAAUCUCAGAAACCUCUGGGAGUCUGCUUUUCAUGUAGCAAACAACCUAGUAAGAAAAACUAGCUUUGGAGCCAGCCCUGGCUGGAAAAAAUGAAGUUAAAUGAAACUCUCUCCACAAUAUUGGGCUAAAACCUUUUGCUGUUUCUUGCUGAGCUUACCUGGCUAAUGCCAUCAGUGAAAGGCAAAUCAGAACAGAUGAAGAAUGUGACUUUCAGGGGAUGAAUGGAAGCGCCUCCUCUGGCUCAUGCUGGUGGGAGAAAAUGAACCAGCCCUGCUUUCUCUCCCUGGUUCAAUUCCCAGCAAAGGAAAAACAAUGUAAUUCAUGAUGAUGAUGACAAUGACAAUGACGACAACAACAAUAACCAACCUUUAACACAUCCUUAUAAUGUGCCAGACCCUGCGGAUCACUGUGAAAAGAACAUGAGAUGCCCUUUGCAGGGACAUGGAUGGAGCUGGAAGCCAUUAUCUUCAGCAAACUAACACAGGAACAGAAAACCAAAUACCGCAUGUUCUCACUUAUAAGUGGGAGCUGAACCACGAGAACAUGGACACAGGGAGGGGAACAACGCACACUGGGGCCUGUGGAGGGCAGGUGGGGGGAGGGAGAGCAUCAGGAUAAACAGCUAAUGCAUGCUGGGCGUAAUACCUAGGUGAUGGAUUGAUAGGUGCAGCAAACCACCAUGGCACACAUUUACCUAUGGAGCAAACCUGCACCUCCUGCACAUGUACCCCAGAACUUAAAAUAAAAUAAAAGUUAAAAAGGACACGAGAUAAUGUAACAAAGUAGUUAGCACAUAGAAAGCUGUUACUAUUCCAGUAUGUCUCCUACUACCCACGGUGCCCCUUAUAUAAGAGCGCCCUCCUGAGGCUUUCAGAAUGACUGGGGCGAGGCAGGGAAUGAGAGGGGACACCAGGCCUGAGGAGUGAGGAGAACAGACUAGAAUGGCUUCCUGACCGAAACUACACCCACUCAACCCCAGGCCUGUGUAAUAGGCACUUCCACUUUAGUGUAAGGGUAAAUCCCAGAACCCUGAAGAAACACAGCCCAGAGCUGGCAUCCUUUUGGCCAUUUCCUGGAGUGGAGCCGGAUUUCAGAGGGCUGUCUCAAAUGACAGUGUCAGCACUAGGAGCUGAUGGUUAAAGCUUUGCAAGAAAACAGCAUCCAGCAUUUUCUCUUGCUACUCUCAUGGGCCAACAUGAAAGUGAGUAAUGAUGGACACAGGCUUUGCUUAAGUGGUGAGUCUAUCAUCCAACCUUUGACUAUAAUUAUGUUGCUCAGAUUAGAGCUAAGUAAACACUGGAUUUGUUUUUUUUUUUUUUUUACUACGAGCAAAUGAAUCUUAUUUCUUACUCAGCAUAGUUGUCCCAGUUUGUUUAUUCAACAAACGUUUAAGCGUGUUCUCCAUGCAUGGUGCUUGUGGCACUGGGCAUUCAGUAGAAAGCUAGAGGCCAGGCGUGGUGGCUCACGCCUAUAAUCCCAGCACUUUGGGAGGCCGAGGCAGGUGGAUCGAUCACCUGAAGUCAGAGUUCAAGACCAGCCUGGCCGAUAUCGUAAAACCCCGUCUCUACUAAAAAUACAAAAAUUAGCUGGGCAUGGUGGCACAUGCUUGCAAUCCCAGCUACUUGAGAGGCUGAGGCAGGAGAAUCGCUUGAACCCGGGAGGCCCAGGUUGCAGUGAGCUGAGAUUGUGCCAUUGCACUCCAGCCUGGGCAACAAGAGCAAGCCUGUCUCAAAACAAAACAAACAAAACAAAACAAAACAAAACAAAACAAUGAAAAAGAAAGCUAGACCCAUAGAGUUCCUGCCUUCUAGUGGAGGAGAUGAGCAAUUAAACAAGAGAAAACAAGUGCGGUGAGGGUGAUGUGCAGGCUGGCGGAGCAGCAACAACAGCACAGAAUCCUGACUACGGUUUGAACUAAACCCAAAGGGCCCCGACUCUGCCUUGAUCUCUCCAGAAAGCCUCCCAGGGCCCUGACUUCCCUGUGCAUGUCAGGUGACCACGGCGGU